GACGAACCGUGCGAACGUUAUUCGGAAUCACUGGGCUUAAAGGGCGCGUAGGCGGGUAACCAAGUCCGGGGUGAAAUCCUCCAGCUUAACUGGAGAAGUGCCUCGGAUACUGGUCGUCUCGAGGAGGGUAGGGGCAUCUGGAACUAGCGGUGGAGCGGUGAAAUGCGUUGAUAUCGCUAGGAACUCCGGUGGCGAAGGCGAGGUGCUGGACCCUUUCUGACGCUGAGGCGCGAAAGCCAGGGGAGCGAACGGG
rnacentral:rRNA from 1 species